rnacentral:rRNA from 1 species
AGUGAACGCUGGCGGUAGGCCUAACACAUGCAAGUCGAACGGCAGCACAGUAAGAGCUUGCUCUUACGGGUGGCGAGUGGCGGACGGGUGAGGAAUACAUCGGAAUCUACUUUUUCGUGGGGGAUCACGUAGGGAAACUUACGCUAAUACCGCAUACGCCCUACGGGUGAAAGCAGGGGAUCUUCGGACCUUGCGCGAUUGAAUGAGCCGCUGUCGGAUUAGCUAGUUGGCGGGGUAAAGGCCCACCCAGGCGACGAUCCGUAGCUGGUCUGAGAGGAUGAUCAGCCACACUGGAACUGAGACACGGUCCAGACGCCUACGGGAGGCAGCAGUGGGGAAUAGUGGACAAUGGGCGCAAGCCUGAUCCAGCCAUACCGCGUGGGUGAAGAAGGCCUUCGGGUUGUAAAGCCCUUUUGUUGGGAAAGAAAAGCAGCAGGUUAAGACCCCGCUGUUCUGACGGUACCCAAAGAAUAAGCACCGGCUAACUUCGUG